GGGGGGGGGGGGGGGGGGGGGGGGGGGGGGGGGGGGGGGGGGGGGGGGGGGGGGGGGGGGGGGGGGGGCGGGCUGCGCUGCGCUGGGCUGCGCUGGGCUGGGCUGGGCGCUGCCCGUAACGGAGCUGCAGGGGCUGUGCGGGAUGAGCUGGAGCGCAGCGGCGAUUUCACAGAAUCAGUGUUCAUGUCCAGGUGAUUUCAGCCUCCCAAAAAAAAGCUGUUCCAGGAGGAAGAGGAUGCUGAGCCAGGACAUGCAGGUAUUUCCUUCAGGAAUUUCAUCCUGUUGAUCAUAGUUUUCCAUGAAAUAUUUUUAUGACUUUGAUUCCUUUUCUGGAGCUUCCAAAC
rnacentral:lncRNA from 12 species